rnacentral:pre_miRNA from 1 species
CUCUGGUGGUGAUAUUGCACAUUACUAAGUUGCAUGUUGUCACGGCCUCAGUGCAAUUUAGUGUGUGUGAUAUUUUCACAUGAGUGCAUGC